CCUACGGGUGGCAGCAGUGGGGAAUAUUGGACAAUGGGGGCAACCCUGAUCCAGCCAUGCCGCGUGUGUGAAGAAGGCCCUCGGGUUGUAAAGCACUUUCAGUGAGGAAGAACGCCUGGUGGUUAAUACCCAUCAGGAAAGACAUCACUCACAGAAGAAGCACCGGCUAACUCCGUGCCAGCAGCCGCGGUAAUACGGAGGGUGCGAGCGUUAAUCGGAAUUACUGGGCGUAAAGCGCGCGUAGGUGGCUUGAUAAGCCGGUUGUGAAAGCCCCGGGCUCAACCUGGGAACGGCAUCCGGAACUGUCGAGCUAGAGUGCAGGAGAGGAAGGUGGAAUUGCCGGUGUAGCGGUGAAAUGCGUAGAGAUCGGGAGGAAUACCAGUGGCGAAGGCGGCCUUCUGGACUGACACUGACACUGAGGUGCGAAAGCGUGGGUAGCAAACAGGAUUAGAUACCCCGGUAGUC
rnacentral:rRNA from 1 species